GGGGGGGGCAAGCGUUGUUCGGAAUUACUGGGCGUAAAGGGCUCGUAGGCGGCCAACUAAGUCGGAUGUGAAAUCCCCAGGCUCAACCUGGGAACUGCAUCCGAUACUGGAUGGCUUGAAUUCGGGAGAGGGAUGCAGAAUUCCAGGUGUAGCGGUGAAAUGCGUAGAUAUCUGGAGGAAUACCGGUGGCGAAGGCGGCAUCCUGGACCGACAUUGACGCUGAUGAGCGAAAGCUAGGGGAGCAAACGGGAUUAGAUACCCCGGUAGUCCUAGCCCUAAACGAUGAAUGCUUGGUGUAACGGGUAUCGAUCCCUGUUGUGCCGAAGCUAACGCAUUAAGCAUUCCGCCUGGGGAGUACGGUCGCAAGGCUG
rnacentral:rRNA from 1 species